UGCAAAGCCCUGAUAUAAGUUUUUUUGACUGUGUUACGGUCUCGUAAACCAACAUAAGAAGACGCCACACAGAUUGAAAGUUAUACCCAGAGCUUUAUUUUAACAAAUUCUCCCCCAAUAUUUUCAAAAAGAUGAAGAAAGAUAACUAAAGGGACUGGAGACCCCAUCCAAAAAACAACAAAAGAUGGGAAGGUGCUGAGCAAACCAUGCAGUGGGCCGUCGACCCACUCAGCACCUCCGCCAUAAAACUACCUAAGAAAUAAAACUCACCUUAGAGAAGGCAAAAGACAGAAAACAGGACUAUCCGAGAUCUCAAGCCCCAAACUAAAAUAACAAAAUCCAGCUACUAAAAUCUCUGUUUGGAAAGAAAUGAACACCUAGGUGGGGGAAAGGAUAAAGUCAGAUGCCCAGAGAGCGUGUGUGCCUCGUGUCUGUUCUACCUGCUCCUCUAAAUUCCCCAGAGAGACAACAGCAUGCAACAACUGUCUAAAUUACACAAAUACAUUGGCAACAUUUCAAUACCACACAAAUACAUCUGUUUCCUCUCAUACUAAAAGGAUAUGCCAAGUAUUUAAAUAAAAAUUUAAAAAGUGAACCUGUCCUCAGAGCUGUAGGAGACAUGAACGUAACUUUUUGCAUAGUAAAGGAAACACUCGCACUUCAACCGCUCCACAGGUGGAGGUCGGUGCUCUCAGAGAAGGACGCUAGGCUGAAUCCAAAGAAAGUACUCGAGCACACAAAUCACUUACGGCAACUUAUUGAGGUGCAAAGGACUUUUGAACACACACUGCGACUUCCUCACAGAUAGACUUUUGCA